rnacentral:rRNA from 1 species
GAAACGCUGGCGGCGUGCUAACACAUGCAAGUCGAACGGGGGUGACUUUCGGGUCACCUUAGUGGCGGACGGGUGAGUAACGCGUGAGCAACCUGCCUUGGAGAGUGGAAUAACCGCUGGAAACAGCAGCUAAUACCGCAUGACAUAGUACCGUCGCAUGGCGGAACUAUCAAAGAUUAAUCGCUUCAAGAUGGGCUCGCGUCUGAUUAGCUGGUUGGUGGGGUAACGGCCUACCAAGGCGACGAUCAGUAGCCGGACUGAGAGGUUGAACGGCCACAUUGGGACUGAGACACGGCCCAGACUCCUACGGGAGGCAGCAGUGAGGGAUAUUGCACAAUGGGCGCAAGCCUGAUGCAGCAACGCCGCGUGAGGGAAGACGGUUUUCGGAUUGUAAACCUCUGUCUUCGGUGACGAAAAAAAUGACGGUAGCCGAGGAGGAAGCCACGGCUAACUACGUGCCAGCAGCCGCGGUAAUACGUAGGUGGCGAACGUUGUCCGGAAUUACUGGGUUUAAAGGGAGCGCAGGCGGGACAGUAAGUCAGCGGUGAAACCAUGGGCUCAACCCAUGGACUGCCGUUGAAACUGUUG